UGAACAUUUUGCAGUCAGAGCUGUAAAGCUUACAGGCUUUUUCUUUGUUUAGCUUUCUUCUGGGUCUUUUCCCCCCCUUUCUUUCUGGAUUUUUUUUUUCUUUUAAUAUAUGUGAAACUCGUUCAAACGCUGGAUUUUCAAGUCCUUGUUCAGGAAGCAUUCAUGAACUGGCAUGGGUCAACAUACAUUUCAUUACCAGGCAAAAGGGAAAAGCCACAACACUGCACUUCAACCAGAAGAUUUGGAGUCGAAGUUUUCUGAAAUCAGCAGAGACUGCUUGAGAACAGCACAUGGUAAACACAGUGCUACAUCUCUAUAUGUAGGUAAUGUCUUUCUAAGUGUUUUCCUCAGGUUUAUGGGUUGAAGGCAAACAAGAAAAGCCUGAAAAGCCAACUGAAAACCUUGCAUUAUUUUAGAAACUAGCAUCACUAGGAAAAAAAAGGGUUUUUUUUUGCAAUAAUCUGUUCUCAAAAAAGCUGUGCAUGUUUACUUGGCAUUUUCAUUUUGAUGUAAAUGUGUAUAAAUUUGUGGGGUUUCUGAGAAUUUUGUUCCUUGAAUAGAAGAAACAAACAUGGGUUUAUAACUUAAAUUGUAUAUGUGAGAAAUAAGAUAUUUCAAUUAAAAAAAAAACCAAACAAACAUUUGCUUUUAAAAUUGCAGAAGAUUUUUGAAGGAGUUGAAAUGCUGAGUUG
rnacentral:lncRNA from 1 species